rnacentral:tRNA from 1 species
GGGGAUUUAGCUCAGUGGUAGAGUGCUUGCCUUGCAAGCACAAGGCCCUGGGUUCGGUCCUCAGCUCCG